GGAGAUACCAGGGAUGGAACUCAGGGGCACUCAGCCACCAAGCCGCAUCCCCUGCCCUAUUUUUGUAUUUUAUUUAGAGACAGGGUCUCCCUGAGUUUCUUAGCUGAGGCUGAUGCUGGCUUUGAACUUGUGAUCCUCCUGCCUCAGCCUCCUGAGCAAGUGGGAUUACCAGCAUGCACCUAGCUAGUUAUGAAUUCUUUUAACUUGUUUUUAUUAUCAUGGAAGGUUUUUACUUUAUCAUCAAUCUGGAAGCUUAAUUUUGCUGAGUAUAUUAUUCUUGAGUGGCAUACAUUUUCUUUCAGAGCUUGGUAUGUAUUAUUCCAAGUCCUCCUAGCUUUGAGGGUCUGAGUUGAAAAAAAUCAGCUGAGAUCUGAAUUGGUUUCUGCCUAUGCAUAAUCUGAUAUUUUUAUUUUGAUAGCCUUUAGACUUCUAUACUUUAUUGUAUAUGUAGACAUUUUCUUAAUAAUGUGCCUUGGUAUGGGUCUGUUGUAAUUUUGUAUAUUUGGGGGUCCUUUAAGCCUCCUGGAUUUGAUUUUUUUUCAUUUCAUUCUUUAGGUUUGGGAAUUUUUCAGAUACUAUUUCAUUGAAAAGAUUGUGCAUUAUUUUGGUUUAUAUCUCCAAGUCUUCAUCUAUCCCAAUAAAUGUUAAAUUUGGUCUUUCUUGGUUAUCCCAUAUUUCUUGGAGUUCUGUUCAUGGCUCUUAAUAUUUUUUCUCUAUGGUCAGCUUUAUUUUCAUGAUUAUAUAUUUUUGUCUUCAUUGCCUGAGACUGUAUCUUCCAAGUGACCUUAGUCUGUUGGUGAUGCAUUCCAUUGAAUUUUUAAUUUGGUUUAUUGAUUCCUUCAUUUUGAGGAUUUCUGCUUUUUUUUCAGAAUCUUUUUAUUUAAUUGAUUUUUCACUUCCUGUAUUUUCUUUCUGAUUUCACUCCUUACGUUGUCCUUUACUUCAGAGAUCAGUUUGACUAUGUACAUUCUAAAUUUCUUCUCUGACAUUUCUUCCACUGUGGUAUCAUGGAUUCUGUUAUUCAAGUAUCUUGAUUUGUUUGCGGCAAUUUGUUCCCUUGCUUUUCCAUGUUGUUUGUGUGUCUACCCAUCUAACAGUAAGGAUCUGAGGUACUACAGUUUCUACCCUGUGGACUUGUAGUGUUCCUAAAUGUUCCUAGUACCUCACUGCUUAGGGGGAGACAAAUAAUAACAACAACCAACGCAAACAAUGUAUAGCAUCAAACCAAGUAGUUCCUGCUAUGACAUCUACAAUGCUAAUUGUCACAAUAAACAGAAAUCACACGAUCAUUUAUUACAGUAAAAACAGUAAGUUUGCAAAAAGGCUUACAAUUUUGAAUGGGUGGACUGAGACAGAACAGAACUGAUGUAGGAUGUGAUGAUUAUGAGGGAGGAGGAGAGAAGAUAGAAGUGACAAAUUAAAGGAAGAGUGAAAGAGAACAAUAGAGAUUUGCUGUUAGAAGAAGAAUCAAGGGAAGAGAUAAGUAAGAGAAUGUAUGUGUGUGUAAAAUAAAAAUAAAUGACUACAAAACUGAAAUAUACUAAUCAAAUAUACUAGUCCUAAAAAUACUGAUCCAUGAAAAAUAACUGUCUUCAAAAAUGCUAGAAUUGAGGAAAAAAUAAAUAAGGAUAUGUAUGACUGUAGAUGAACCAUUAGGGCCACAAUUAAACAGAGAAAAGAAAAAGGGAAAAAAAAAACUUCAUAAAAAGUUAAAGAAUCACAUCCAUUGGAGUUCAAAAGAUUCUCAGCUUUCCUUCUUGGCAGUGUUGGGUGGGUUUGCUGGGGUGAGAGAGGUUAUCCUGUAGGCAGGACUCCUGGAUGCAGGGUUUAGGCUUGGGUGGGUUCCAGGUUCUUCAAUGAAUGCCAUCUGGUCUGGAAACUUUAAAUCAGCACACCUCCAGGGCCCAGAAAUUUCUGGUCCACACUAGAAGACUGCACCCCAGGGAUCUCCCCUGGGUUCCACUUGUGUAGUGAGGAGCCAAUUCUUAGUCCACUAUGUUACUUGUGGACCCCGCAUUUCAUGGUCUCAAGUUUAGUCUCCAAACUCAAUCUCUCCUAUCUCCACCCUUUUGAAUUUCUACCUAGGCUUCUCUCCCAGCCAGUCCUGCAAGCAGCCAGGUCAGAAGAGGAGGGACAGCCAGAUGGGUUUCUGUGGCCAGUAGUCCCCUGUGUGAACCUCUGUUCACAUUUGAUUUUGUCCUGCUCAAUUAGGCACACUCUACGUCAUUCAUUGUGGGUUUGCCAGGCCUAUAUUUUGGGCCAAACUCAGGUUUGCUGGGAAUUGGCUCCCCAGCUGCAAGCCCUCAUGCUGUGGCUGCAAAAUGGAUUCUUCCUCUGUCCUCUGUAUACAUCCUGGAGAGAUGGUAGCUUCUUUCUCACACAAGGAUCUUGUGCAGCACACCUGUUAGUUUAAUGAGGCAGUGUCUUUCAUCUCUAAACUCUCUAUACCCAGAUGUGCUAAAAUGUGGGCUCCUUUAAUUCCCUUGUCUCUCCACUUCACUCAUGGAGGGACCAACCUGGUUGGUGAUUGAUCCCUCCAACCACCAGCAGCUGCUGUGGUGCCAGGGGAUUUCUUCCUUAUUGUAUUAUAUUCAACUUCCUGAGUUCCCAGUCUUCUUUGAAUGUCCAGUAUUAAAUUCCAGUAAAGUUCCCCCCUCACUUUUUUUUGUUCACCCACCUUGCUAAGAAGCUGCUUAUCUGCAUAUUUGGUUUCAUGCCACAGAGCACCAAGGAAAGCAACCUUCUCUAUUCUGCAAUCUUGAAACUACUCCUACAUUCUCCAAUUUUUUAGCAUAUAGGUUUUUAAAAUAAUCCCCAAUGAUCCUUUGAAUUUGUAUCAAUUGUAAUGUAUCCUUUUAAUUUCUUGAGUUUAAUGGAUAGUGCUAUGUGCAAACAUUGGAGAAACAAAACUGGUACUUUAGAGAAAGUAAAUCCAGGGUUAACAUGGACUUUUGGAGGGUCCAACGGUUGCCUCAUCUUUUCUGAGGUUUUCUUUUUUUUUUCUGUUUUAAAUUUGUUUGUUUUAAUUAGUUAGACAUAAUGGUAUAAUGCAUUUAUGCAUUUUGAUAUGUCAUACAUAGAUGGGAUAUAAUUUCUCACAGUCAUAUAUGUACAUAAGGUAAUAAUGUAUGUUUUAUUCUACUCUUCUUCCUAUCCCCAAGUCCUCUUUCCUCUACCCAAUCUAAAAUAACUUUAUUCUUCCCUAGCAAUUCUUUUUCCCCUGCCAUUUUGAAUUAGCAUCUACCUAUCUGAGAAAACAUUUGGCCUUUGUUAUUUUCGGGGGUGGGGGUGGGAAUUGGCUUAUUUUGCUUAGCAUGAUAUUCUCCACUCCAUCCAUUUACUGACAAAUGCCAUAAUUUCAUUUUUCUUUAAAGCUGAGUAAUAUUCAUCAAAUAUAUUUAUAUACAACAUUUUCUUUAUCUAUUCAUCUACUGAAGAGCACCUAGGUUGAUUCUGUAGUUUAGCUAUUGUGAAUUGAGCUGCUAUAAGCGUUGAUAUGAAUGUGCCACUAUAUUAUGCUGAUUUUAAGUCCUUUGGGUAUAUACCAAAGAGUGGGAUAGCUGGGUCAAAUGGUGGUUCCAUUCCAAAUUUUCUGAGGAAUCUCCAUAUUGCUUUCCAUAGUGGUUGCACCAAUUUGCAUUCCCACCAGCAAUGUAUGAGUUUAUCUUUUCCCCCACAUUCUUGCCAACACUUAUUGUUGCCUAUAUCCUUGACUCUCAUUCUGACUGGGAUGAGAUAAAAUCUUAGAGUAGUUUUAAUUUGCAUUUCUCUAAAUGCUAGAUACGUUGAACAUUUUUUCACAUAUUUGUUGAUUGAUUGUAUUUCUUCUUGUAAAGUGUCUGUUCAGUUCUAAGGUGUUAGAUAUUCAACUUAUAAAGUAUUUGCUCUCCAACUCAUCACAGAGUAUACAGGAUAAUGUGAAUUUUGAAAAAAAAAAAUACUGGUGUGGUGAGUGCUGUAGCUUAUUCUCACUAUCCACCCUGCGGUAAAGCUUCAGGGUCUUAUCUUGAGUUAUAUCUUAUCUUACAGCUUAAGGUAGUCCUCUGGACUCCUGGAAUUGUUGGAGGCUUUAAGUUAAAGCCAACUAGGAAAAUGCUUUUCCAGAAGCAGAUAAUUUAAGACAUGCACAGUAGACAGCUUUCCGUUAGAUGUCACAACAGUACUAUUAUAAUGAGGCUCGUACCCCUCCUAAUUUUUCCUUGUGGCCACCUUUUUCACUUGGCAGAAAUAUUCAAGUAAUUAAAAUUCUAGAUACUUGUUCUCAUCCCCUGAAACAGUUCCACCCAGUUAUGGGGUGCGAGAUUGCUUAACUGUAUAUUUGAAUAAAAUGGGUAGACCUCCCACCUGGCUUAUUCUUUAAUCAUCUGACUUGUUUGAUUUACAAAGACCCUGGCUUAGAAACAUGGCCUAAAUCCUUGGUAUCAUCCUCCUAGUAGUCACACUGUCAGUCUCCCUGGGGCACUCCAUCCUCUCAAAGUCUUAAAUGUGUAUGGACAGCUAUCUGCUGGAUGUUAACUGGGCUCUCUUGGCUGGGAUGACCAUGACUCAAACACUUGAUCAUGAGGACCCCUUAAUCUACGGAUGGUGGUGACUGAACGUGGUGCUGAUGUCUUAUGUUUUGAUCAGAUUCUUGCCUGUGGAAGCAUGACCAAUACGGAGAAAUUGUUAAACAAGGUCAAUGGGAAAUCAUGGAUUUGGACUGGGCUUUUUGGGUUUGGCCCAGAAAUUUAAACUUUCAUCAUAGUAACUGAGCUUUGGAUGGUUGCCAGAGGAUCUGUAGCCAGUUAACUGAUUAGGCUGUAAACAGCUAGUUACAUUUAACUGAAACUACGUUGAACAUUUUUGGUUUUGCUGUUUGUUUACCCCCCACAUCUGUUUUUCUCUAAGUACUGUCUGAAAACAUUGUUGAGAGUUCUUAGAACCUGCCCUGGUUCUGUAUGCUGUCAUAUUUGUGAAUUGUUUGUGUUUUUGCUUUAGUAAAAUACACUCCACUGAGCUUAAUUGAUCUGGGGAUUUUUCUUUCUAAUUGGAUUGGAAGUCCACCAUUGGCUGCUAGCAUAUGAGAUGACCUUGUCUCUUGGAACACAGAGCCCCAGAAUUCAGCAAGCUGCUGCUUUGUGUUUUCCUAUGAGGACAGAGAUGACUCCAGUCCUAUCUUUUCUCAUGUUGCAUUUGUGUUGUGAACUGAGAAGACUACAUGGGAAAUUGUCUGUUGGUUAAUUAAAACUAAUAAAGAAGCCCUGUUACAGAGAACAAUUAGCUUCCUUCACUUAUGGUUUUCCACCAAUCAUCAAAUUUGUUAACUUAAUAAUAUGAUUUUUCUGCAUUACAGAGGAAAUAAGAUGGCUUGGAUCAUUCACAGAGGAGCCUAAUUUUGAAUUCAGUUAUGGC
rnacentral:lncRNA from 1 species